UGAUAGGGAAAUGAAGGAUUAUGGACCAGCUAAGGAAGGCAUUAGGAUCCUUUUUCUUGCCUCCCUUAGUUGGACCCUAAUCCUUCGUUUGGAUCCCGCUAUGUGGAUUCU
ensembl:miRNA